UUGACCUCAAAUCAGGUAGGACUACCCGCUGAACUUAAGCAUAUCAAUAAGCGGAGGAAAAGAAACUAACAAGGAUUCCCCUAGUAACUGCGAGUGAAGCGGGAAAAGCUCAAAUUUGAAAUCUGGCAGUUCUUUUGACUGUCCGAGUUGUAAUCUAGAGAAGUGUUACCUGUGCUGGACCAUGUACAAGUCUUCUGGAAUGGGGCAUCAUAGAGGGUGAGAAUCCCGUCUUUGACAUGGACUACCAGUGCACUGUGGUGCGCUCUCAAAGAGUCGAGUUGUUUGGGAAUGCAGCUCAAAAUGGGUGGUAAAUGCCAUCUAAAGCUAAAUAUUGGCGAGAGACCGAUAGCGAACAAGUACCGUGAGGGAAAGAUGAAAAGAACUUUGGAAAGAGAGUUAAACAGUACGUGAAAUUGCUGAAAGGGAAACGCUUGAAGUCAGUCACGUUGGCUAGAAAUCAACCUUGCUUUUGCUUGGUGUACUUUCUGGUUUGACGGGUCAGCAUCGAUUUCUUUGACCAUUGGAUAAAGUCUUUGGGAAUGUGGCAUCUUUGGAUGUGUUAUAGCCCAUUGUCGCAUAYGAUGGUUGGGAUCGAGGAACUCAGCACGCCGCAAGGCCGGGUUUAUACCACGUUCGUGCUUAGGAUGCUGGCAUAAUGGCUUUAAUCGACCCGUC
rnacentral:rRNA from 1 species